UUGGGCCUGGUAAGAGUUGGGGAAUUCUUGAGACACUACUAACCUACUCACUGUCCUGUGCGCCUCUCACCUCCACAGAAGAGCCAUCUUGCGGUCCUCAUAUGCAUAAAGACCAAAUAACCUUGUGUCUCCCAAGCCAGAGAAGGGGCAUACUCACUGUGUGACAUGUGAAGAUGCAUGGCGAAUGUGAUUGUAGGGGAAGCUCUGCUUCCUCUGAAGAGAGGUUCCCCUCUUCCAUCUUUUAUCCAGAAGCAUGUAAUAAAGCACAUAUUGAACUGCUGUGUGCAACGGGCCCCGAACCAAUUCAGGAAACACUUGGAAUCUAAUUCUGCUCCUGAAGGGAAGUCAAAUGGCAACUCUGAUUAAAUUUGUCUUUCUAAUCAAA